rnacentral:lncRNA from 1 species
UAUUAUAUUUCAAUGAUACAGGGAUACACAGUGAAUAAAAUGACGUAAUUAUUCGAGUAGUUUAAAAGGAGAAUUGGUAACUAUUAUAUUUCAAUGAUACGGGGAUACGCAGUCAUUCAAAUGACGUAAUUAUUCGAGUAGUUUAAAAGGAGAAUUGGUAACUAUUAUAUUUCAAUGAUACAGGGAUAUGGGGAUUCGCAGUGAAUAAAACGUCAUGAAACGACAAUUUAUUUGGAAAUCGG